GAGCAGCUAGCUCAGUUGGUAGAGCAUGGGACUCUUGAUCUCAGGAUCGUGAGUUUGAGCCCCACGCUAGUUG
rnacentral:tRNA from 1 species